GCUCAUGUGUUGGCUACUCUCCAAGUACCCACUCCUGACCAUUAUGUGGCAGUAGGCACAAGUGUUCGUGAUGCGUCAGUAAAUCUUUUCAAAGAAGAAGAAGCAAAUAGUGGAAGCGCAGUCUUCCGGUGUCCUUGUACGACGACUUGACGUGGAGCUAUGUACCGACACAUUCAAGAGGACAAUGGAAUUCCAGUUCAUUUGAAAGGGGGUGUCAGCGACGCUAUCCUGUACAGAGCAACAAUGGCACUCACUAUCCUAGGAUCUGCAUAUGUCGUAUAUGAACUGGUUUGUGCCGCUUUCCCCAAGAAGAAGGAGUGACUCCAGCUGCUGGGCUCACCUGUUCUACAUGACACCCUGUUAGUUGUAAAAAGUUAUCUCUGUCACAAGGGGGUUGAUUUGUCAUGUCAUAAUGGCUUUUGUUUCAUGUUCAUGGGAUCAAUAUUUAUUUAUUUAUUUAUUAACUGAGGAUGAUUAAAUAUGCCUCUCAUUACCAAGUGGUCUUUGUUCUUUUUGUAUGUGUGUAAAUGUAUAUUUUAAGUACGGGACACACCAUAACAAACGUUGGUAGUGUGCAGCGGGCAGCCAUCCUAUCGCUUCUGACCACAGAACAUUGGUUGUCAUUUUCUGUUAAUGUGCCAACGAUUCUACAUGUGGUAUCGCCACCGUUAGUUGAAACCCAGCAGGUGAUCUACUGGGCAUGGCUGAUGUUUGUGUUGGUCUCUCUUGUCCUUUAAACUACACUGAAUAAACGAUGCUCAC
rnacentral:lncRNA from 1 species